GUUUUGUUUAGGGCCUGUUUGACGUGAGAGCUUAUACAUCUAUUGAACGUCACUUUUCAUUGAGUUAUUAACUCACGAUUACCUUUCGUGUUCUGACUUGAUGACAUGCAAAUAUAAUCCCAUCAUAACAAAAUCACAUGUGUAAUCUCAUUUUCCCGCUGCAUUUAUUCUCCCACUGGACUGUCUCAUGUUACCCUAGUCCAUACUGUCCACUGUCAUUGCAGUUUUUCUUUGCUGUCCCAGCAGAAUGGCAAAUCGGAUCGAUGUGUGGAGCUGUGCGCCAGAGUGUGUUUUGGUGCUGCAGUCUGCAUCCACCACCCUCCCCACCACCCCCGCCGACCUCCGCAAUAUAGGAAUGCGGGAUGAGACUCUGUCUCAUCUACGGUCCUGGAAAGUGGAAACAUCAGGGAUGGAUUGGUAAACUGGCUGUCGCUGGCCUUGGUCCUGAUCCGGGCUGAAGCCAGGAGAAGGACCACGCCCCUGCAAAGGAGAGAACAGCCACCCACAGGACUGCAGCCUCACCACCUCCAAACACCACACAAGGCGCCCCCAGUGCUCCUGUUCACACUGCCAGUCUGGAAAACAGCCCAAACAAUGAAACUAUGCAACACAGCCACUGCCAAGUCAUCCUAAAUCACCUUAGGCGCCAUGAUGCUACUUUUAUAAUGGGAAUGAAUAGUAACAAUAUAAUGCUUUUUUAGUGGAAAAGUGGAAGCUAUUUUUCACUGAAAAUAAAAUAGUUUUCUUGA